AUUGAACGCUGGCGGCAGGCUUAACACAUGCAAGUCGAGCGAGCGGCGGACGGGUGAGUAAUGUCUGGGAAACUGCCUGAUGGAGGGGGAUAACUACUGGAAACGGUAGCUAAUACCGCAUACCAUCAGAUGUGCCCAGAUGGGAUUAGCUAGUAGGUGGGGUAAUGGCUCACCUAGGCGACGAUCCCUAGCUGGUCUGAGAGGAUGACCAGGCAAACUGGAACUUGGACCAGGUCCAGACUCCUAAGGGAGGCAGCAGGGGGGAAUAUUGCACAAUGGGCGCAAGCCUGAUGCAGCCAAGCCGCGGGGGGGAAGAAGGCCUUCGGGUUGGAAAGCACUUUCAGCGAGGAGGCGGUACUCGCAGAAGAAGCACCGGCUAACUCCGUGCCAGCCGCCGCGGUAAUAC
rnacentral:rRNA from 1 species